rnacentral:rRNA from 1 species
UACGUAGGUGGCAAGCGUUACUCGGAAUCACUAGGCGUAAAGCGCAGGUAGGCGGUUCAAUAAGUCUCUUGUGAAAGCUCCCGGCUUAACUGGGAGAGGUCAGGGGAAACUGUUGGGCUAGAGUGUGGCAGAGGAAGCUGGAAUUCCCGGUGUAGCGGUGAAAUGCGUAGAUAUCGGGAGGAAUACCUAUGGCGAAAGCAGGCCUCUGGGCCGUCACUGACGCUGAGCUGCGAAAGCUAGGGGAGCAAACAGG